rnacentral:rRNA from 1 species
CCGGCGACCGGCGCACGGGUGAGUAACACGUAUGCAACCUGCCCUCUUCAGGGGGACAACCUUCCGGAAAGGGAGGCUAAUCCCGCGUAUAUCGGUUUCGGGCAUCCGAGAUCGAGGAAAGAUUCAUCGGAAGAGGAUGGGCAUGCGGCGCAUUAGCUAGACGGCGGGGUAACGGCCCACCGUGGCGACGAUGCGUAGGGGUUCUGAGAGGAAGGUCCCCCACACUGGUACUGAGACACGGACCAGACUCCUACGGAAGGCAGCAG